AGAAAUGGAGUCCGGUUAAUGUACAUCCACGUAAUGUACGACCUGAUAAUCCGUGUACAUAACAAUGUACACGGAAUACGUGCGUGUACAAUCCAUGGUCGGGAAAUAUUGGCUGCGAAUUAUCAGUCCGUACACGGAUUGCCCAUCCGUGUAAUGUACAUCCAAAUAAUUGGAAGCCAAGAUGGCGGCCACCUAUUCUAUCAGCCAAUCAGGGGUCAGUAUCAUAGACACAAAACUCCAUUGCUAUGCGUCGUUUUAAUUAGUUAACCGUGUAGCUACAUUAGGCAAUUUUUUAUUAUCAUAAUGUUAGACAAGGACAAAAUAUAGGCCCAAUAGUGCCCUCAGCUUUAUUUGUUGAAACCGACCACAUUAUAUGGCUUUUUGGCGGGAACGGAAACGGUACGGCUGCUUUCUUCAUUGAAUAAUCUAAAUAAUUAAUACGAAAUGGUGUUUAAUGGUCGCAUUAAGUUAGUCGGAAAACAUUGGCGAUAGUUUUAUUAUAUCUGAAUAUUUAAUAAACGAAGUGUACCUACCUAUUUUCGCUUCGUUCCAACAAGCCGCUUCAUUACUUAUUAAUUCGUUUCUUUAAUUCGGACUUUUUUUUUGUUUCUUUAAUUAGUUUAUGCGGACUUUUGAGUUAAUUCGUUUGGGGUUCGGAGUAGGAGUCUACUCCGAGGGUGGGGGCUUAGGUUUCAUCAUCAUCACCUUUCAUCUUUACAUUAAUCAUCAAGAAAAAAAAUACGUAAGACAUGGCUGUAUGGGCAUAGUUCCCUUUGCCUUACCCUUUGGGGAAAACCAAAACAAAUAACAAUAACUUCAACCCAAAUUCUGUCGCAUCUAUAAUAAAAUACAAUAAUUAACUUAAUUUUAUUGAAUAAAAAGCCCAAAACUGAUAAAUUCCUCACAAAGUAAACGGUCAAGAGAUGUUGAGACAAUCUAAACUUGUAACAUAAAGAGGAAUUUAUUUAUAUAUCCACUACUAUUACUUUGAGAUUAUUUUGUUGAAUACGAAAUGAGUUGAGAGCAUUUAGUUCUGACGAUCAAGAAGGAAUAUCACACAGGAUUCAUCAUCAUGCAAAUGUUGAGGUUAUGCUGCUCUACAUCAUACGUACUAAAGAAAUAAAUAAAAAGAAUUAACGAAAAUAACAUAAGUGUGAGAGUAGAAUCUGUGACGCCAACUAAAGUAAUACAUGAACAGUGUCUUCACCUAUAAUUAAUAAAUAAUGUACUAGUGGAAAUGA